CCCUUAGAUGUUCUGGGCCGCACGCGCGCUACACUGAUGCAUUCAACGAGUCCAACCUUGACCGAGAGGUCCGGGUAAUCUUUGAAACUGCAUCGUGAUGGGGCUAGAUUAUUGCAAUUAUUAAUCUUCAACGAGGAAUGCCUAGUAAGCGUGAUUCAUCAAAUCGCGUUGAUUACGUCCCUGCCCUUUGUACACACCGCCCGUCGCUCCUACCGAUUGAGUGCGUUGGUGAGGAGUUUGGAUUGGCCUCGGAAGGUGGUUCGCCACCGUCCGUAGCUGAGAAGUUCUCCAAACCGCCCCACUUAGAGGAAGGAGAAGUCGUAACA
rnacentral:rRNA from 1 species